UACAGAGGGUGCAAGCGUUAAUCGGAAUUACUGGGCGUAAAGGGCGCGUAGGCGGCCAUUCAAGUUAGGUGUGAAAGCCCUGGGCUCAACCUAGGAAUUGCACUUGAUACUGUUUGGCUUGGAUUCGGGAGAGGUGAGUGGAAUUCCCAGUGUAGAGGUGAAAUUCGUAGAUAUUGGGAAGAACACCAGUGGCGAAGGCGGCUCACUGGACCGACACUGACGCUGAGGCGCGAAAGCGUGGGGAGCAAACAGG
rnacentral:rRNA from 1 species